GACGAACGCUGGCGGCGUGCUUAACACAUGCAAGUCGAACGGUGAAGCGCCUUCCUUUUUGGUGGGUGUGGAUGAGUGGCGAACGGGUGAGUAACACGUGAGUAACCUGCCCCCUUCUUCUGGAUAACCGCAUGAAAGUGUGGCUAAUACGGGAUAUUCUGGGUCUGUCGCAUGAUGGGUCUGGGAAAGAUAUUGUUUCGGUGGGGGAUGGGCUCGCGGCCUAUCAGCUUGUUGGUGGGGUGAUGGCCUACCAAGGCGGUGACGGGUAGCCGGCCUGAGAGGGUGGACGGUCACACUGGGACUGAGACACGGCCCAGACUCAUACGGGAGGCAGCAGUGGGGAAUAUUGCACAAUGGGCGCAAGCCUGAUGCAGCGACGCCGCGUGAGGGAUGGAGGCCUUCGGGUUGUGAACCCCUUUCGCCAGUGAAGCAGGCCUGCCUCGUUUGUGGGUGGGUUGACGGUAGCUGGAUAAGAAGCGCCGGCUAACUACGUG
rnacentral:rRNA from 1 species